CCUACGGGGAGCAGCAGUGAGGAAUAUUGGUCAAUGGGCGAGAGCCUGAACCAGCCAAGUCGCGUGAAGGAUGACUGCCCUAUGGGUUGUAAACCUCUUUUAUAUGGGAAGAAAACACGUUAUGCAUACGGUCUUGUAUGUACCGAAUGAAUAAGCAUCGGCUAACUCCGUGCCAGCAGCCGCGGUAAUACGGAGGAUGCGAGCGUUAUCCGGAUUUAUUGGGUUUAAAGGGUGCGUAGGUGGGUUGUUAAGUCAGUUGUGAAAGUUUGCGGCUUAACCGCAGAAUUGCAGUUAAAACUGGCAGUCUUGAGUACAGACGAGGUAGGCGGAAUAAGUGGUGUAGCGGUGAAAUGCUUAGAUAUGACGAAGAACUCCGAUAGCGAAGGCAGCUCACUAGACUGAAACUGACGCUGAUGCACGAAAGUGUGGGUAGCAAACAGGAUUAGAUACCCUUGUAGUC
rnacentral:rRNA from 1 species